GGACAUGGACUGUUCUGUAGUGUAGGGGUUAGGGGUUAGGGACAUGGACUGUUCUGUAGUGUAGGGGUUAGGGGUUAGGGACAUGGACUGUUCUGUAGUGUAGGUGUUAGGGACAUGGACUGUUCUGUAGUGUAGAGGUUAGGGGUUAGGGACAUGGACUCUUCUGUAGUGGAGGGGUUAGGGGUUAGGGACAUGGACUGUUCAGUAGUGUAGUGGUUAGGAUAUGGACUGUUCUGUAGUGUAGGGGUUAGGGGUUAGGGACAUGGACUGUUCUGUAGUGUAGGGGUUAGGGGUUAGGGACAUGGACUGUUCUGUAGUGUAGGGGUUAGUGGUUAGGGACAUGGGCUGUUCUGUAGUGUAGGGGUUAGGGGUUAGGGACAUGGACUGUUCUGUAGUGAAGGGGUUAAGGACAUGGACUGUUCUGUAGUGAAGUGGUUAGGGGUUAGGGACAUGGACUGUUCUGAAGUGUAGGGGUUAGGGACAUGGACUGUUCAGUAGUGUAGUGGUUAGGAUAUGGACUGUUCUGUAGUGUAGGGGUUAGGGGUUAGGGACAUGGACUGUUCUGUAGUGUAGGGGUUAGGGGUUAGGGACAUGGACUGUUCUGUAGUGUAGGGGUUAGUGGUUAGGGACAUGGACUGUUCUGUAGUGUAGGGGUUAGGGGUUAGGGACAUGGACUGUUCUGUAGUGUAGGGGUUAGGGACAUGGACUGUUCUGUAGUGUAGUGGUUAGGGACAUGGACUGUUCUGUAGUGUAGUGGUUAGGGGUUAGGGACAUGGUCUGUUCUGUAGUGUAGGGGUUAGAGACAUGGACUGUUCUGUAGUGUAGUGGUUAGGGACAUGGACUGUUCAGUAGUGUAGUGGUUAGGGACAUGGACUGUUCUGUAGUGUAGUGGUUAGGGACAUGGACUGUUCAGUAGUGUAGUUGUUAGGGACGUGGACUGUUCUAUAGUGUAGGGGUUAGGGGUUAGGGACAUGGACUGUUCUGUGGUGUAGGGGCUAGGGUGUAGGGGUUAGGGACAUGGACUGUUCUGUAGUGUAGGGGUUAGGGACAUGGACUGUUCAGUAGUGUAGUGGUUAGGAUAUGGACUGUUCUGUAUGUAGGGGUUAGGGGUUAGGGACAUGGACUGUUCUGUAGUGUAGGGGUUAGGGGUUAGGGACAUGGACUGUUCUGUAGUGUAGGGGUUAGUGGUUAGGGACAUGGACUGUUCUGUAGUGUAGGGGUUAGGG
rnacentral:lncRNA from 1 species